GGCCGGUUAGCUCAGUCAGUUGAGCGUAGCGCUAACAACGCUAAUGUCAUAGGUUCGAUUCCCAUUCGGUCC
rnacentral:tRNA from 1 species